rnacentral:rRNA from 1 species
GCACCAGACUCCUACGGGAGGCAGCAGUGAGGAAUAUUGGUCAAUGGCCGAGAGGCUGAACCAGCCAAGUCGCGUGAGGGAUGACGGCCCUACGGGUUGUAAACCUCUUUUGUCGGGGAGCAAAGAGAGUCACGUGUGACUCAUUGAGAGUACCCGAAGAAAAGGCAUCGGCUAACUCCGUGCCAGCAGCCGCGGUAAUACGGAGGAUGCGAGCGUUAUCCGGAUUUAUUGGGUUUAAAGGGUGCGCAGGCGGAAGAUCAAGUCAGCGGUAAAAUUGAGGGGCUCAACCUCUGCGAGCCGUUGAAACUGGUUUUCUUGAGUGAGCGAGAAGUAUGCGGAAUGCGCGGUGUAGCGGUGAAAUGCAUAGAUAUCGCGCAGAACUCCGAUUGCGAAGGCAGCAUGCCGGCUCCACACUGACGCUGAGGCACGAAAGCGUGGGUAUCGAACAGGAUUAGAUACCCCUGUAC